GUCUCUGCCAGCUCAUCGUUGAGUAUCGUUCAUUCCUUUAAAACACAGCAAGUUAACUUCGAAUUCUAUCUGCUGUUCUAAGGUCUUCAUUUAUCGAUUACCCGGAAGGUAUUGCAGAUAAAAGAAGAAAUGUCUCCCACUCAGUAUUAUCACGUACAGUGCACGCCAACCGUUUACCCGGCUGAUCCUUUCAACGCCGAGGAAGAUGCAGCUCUGUUAAGAACAGCGAUGAAGGGUUUUGGUACCGAUGAACAAGCAAUUAUUGAUGUCCUUGCUCAUCGCGGAAUUGUUCAACGAAUGGAAAUUGCGGAGAAAUUUAAAACAAUGUAUGGCAAAGAUCUAAUCUCCGAAUUGAAGUCCGAACUUGGCGGGAAUUUUGAAAAAGCUAUUGUCGCCUUAAUGACACCUCUACCAGAAUUUUAUGCCAAAGAAUUGCACGAUGCAAUUUCUGGUAUGGGUACGGACGAAGGUGCACUCAUUGAAGUUCUCGCAUCUCUUAGCAAUUAUGGCGUCAAAACGAUAGCUGCUGUUUACAAAGAGUUAUAUGGAUCUGAAUUGGAAGAUGACCUCAAAAGUGAUACUUCCGGUCAUUUCAAGAGGCUCUUGGUUUCACUAUCAUGCGCAAACAGAGAUGAAAGUUCAGAAGUCGACUUAGCAGCUGCAACAGAGGAUGCAGAAAAAUUAUUAUCUGCUGGUGAAGAACAAUGGGGAACUGAUGAGAGUACAUUUAACGCUGUACUGAUUACAAGAAGUUUCCCACAAUUAAGACAAAUUUUUAAAGAAUACGAACGCCUUGCUGGCCAUUCCUUGGAAGAAGCUAUCAAGCAAGAAUUUUCAGGUUCUCUCGAAGAUGGUUAUCUUGCAGUUGUAAAAUGCGCUCGAGACAAAACUGCAUACUUUGCAGAAAGACUACACAAAGCUAUGAGUGGAAUUGGUACGACUGAUUCAACUUUAAUACGGAUAAUAGUAGCUAGAUCAGAAAUUGAUUUGGGUGACAUCAAGGAUGAUUAUCAAAAGAUUUAUGGAACAUCGCUUGCAGGUGACAUUGAUGAUGACACUUCCGGUGACUACAAGAGACUCUUGCUUGCCCUACUCGGAUGAAAACGUUCCGAUCGUUCAACAACUAUUUCUUGCUUUUUAAAUCGUAUUUUAAUACUAUGGAUGAUACGUAAUGAUUUUUUGUUCUGAACUUUUUUAGAAAGUUCAUUAAUAUCUUCUCAAUAUAUUAUUAUCACGAUCGAGAGGAACGACUGCAGCGAAGACUUUAAACGGCUUCUGAUCGCACUUUUGAAUUAAUGACAAAUUACACGGUGACCUUUCUUCUUAUCCGAGAGAGAUAAUCAAUCUCAUGCAUCCUUUAUUUUAAGUAUUUAAUCAUUUGCGUAUCACGCUAUCAAUGUAAUAUUACUUAUCUAUAUUAUUUGUUUAAUAAAUAUGCACGUGUGCCUAAUUAAAUAUAUAAAUCAUUUGAUA